rnacentral:rRNA from 1 species
GAGCCGAGUGGCGGACGGGUGAGUAACGCGUAGGGACCUGCCUUGGAGAGGGGGAUAACCCGGGGAAACUCGGGCUAAUACCGCAUGAUACCGUUGUCUUUUAGAUGACGGUCAAAUAGUGGCUUCGGCUGCUGCUCUGAGAAGGACCUGCGUCCGAUUAGCUUGUUGGUGGGGUAAAGGCCUACCAAGGCGACGAUCGGUAGCUGUUCUGAGAGGAAGAUCAGCCACACUGGGACUGAGACACGGCCCAGACUCCUACGGGAGGCAGCAGUGGGGAAUAUUGGACAAUGGGGGCAACCCUGAUCCAGCGAUGCCGCGUGUGUGAAGAAGGCCCGAGGGUUGUAAAGCACUUUCAGUAGGGAGGAAGUUAUUGUGGUGAAUAGCCAUGAUAAUUGACGUUACCUACAGAAGAAGCACCGGCUAACUCUGUGCCAGCAGCCGCGGUAAUACAGAGGGUGCGAGCGUUAAUCGGAAUUACUGGGCGUAAAGGGCGCGUAGGCGGUUAUUUAAGUUGGCUGUGAAAGACCUGGGCUCAACCUGGGACGGCCAGUCAA